UACUGACCUUAGCGGCGGACGGGUGAGUAAUGCUUAGGAAUCUGGCUAUUAGUGGGGGACAACGUUUCGAAAGGGACGCUAAUACCGCAUACGUCCUACGGGAGAAAGCAGGGGAUCUUCGGACCUUGCGCUAAUAGAUGAGCCUAAGUCGGAUUAGCUAGUUGGUGGGGUAAAGGCCUACCAAGGCGACGAUCUGUAGCGGGUCUGAGAGGAUGAUCCGCCACACUGGGACUGAGACACGGCCCAGACUCCUACGGGAGGCAGCAGUGGGGAAUAUUGGACAAUGGGGGGAACCCUGAUCCAGCCAUGCCGCGUGUGUGAAGAAGGCCUUAUGGUUGUAAAGCACUUUAAGCGAGGAGGAGGGUACUGGUAUUAAUACUACCAGCUACUGGACGUUACUCGCAGAAUAAGCACCGGCUAACUCUGUGCCAGCAGCCGCGGUAAUACAGAGGGUGCGAGCGUUAAUCGGAUUUACUGGGCGUAAAGCGUGCGUAGGCGGCUAAUUGAGUCGGAUGUGAAAUCCCCGAGCUUAACUUGGGAAUUGCAUUCGAUACUGGUUAGCUAGAGUGUGGGAGAGGAUGGUAGAAUUCCAGGUGUAGCGGUGAAAUGCGUAGAGAUCUGGAGGAAUACCGAUGGCGAAGGCAGCCAUCUGGCCUAACACUGACGCUGAGGUACGAAAGCAUGGGGAGCAAACAGGAUUAGAUACCCUGGUAGUCCAUGCCGUAAACGAUGUCUACUAGCCGUUGGUC
rnacentral:rRNA from 1 species